GGGCUUGUACUGGUUUCGACGGGGAUCAUGCAGUCGGUGAAGCUAUCCGUAAGGCAAUACGUUACAUUCCAAACACUAAAUAUAAACGCUGAAGAUAAUUUAGCAUUAGCUGCCUAAGCGCAGCUUGUCUCCCUUAACGCACCUGUUCGUUAAGUAAGAGGCAUCGAUUAAAGCAGGUAACGAUAUAUACAAAGCUUUGAGUAUAUAUUGUACUUAUGAAGCUAGCUUUUGUAUAAAGCUGUAUGUCACUUUGUAUGAAAGCGAAUAAAACUGACAUAAUAUGAUAGUAGAAGAACGAGGAAUUGGUUUUCGGACAGGGGUUCGAUUCCCCUCAGGUCCACUA
rnacentral:tmRNA from 1 species